GGGGGCAUAGCUCAGUUGGGAGAGCAGCAGACUGAAGUUGCUAAUUGUGUUCUUUGGCUUCUGAAGGUCCCGCGUUCAAUUCGCGGUGCCCCCA